UAUAUGUACAUACAUGAUACAUCAGUAUAUAGUUAGUAUAUAGCAGUAAACAUGGCAGCUAGAGUGAGGGUUUCUUUACUGGUUCUCAUGAGCCUUGUCACUUACAUGUCUAACACCGCAGAAUCCUCUAUAACCCCGGCAGAGUUUAUCAAGUCUUCGUGUAGGGCUACUCGCUACCCUAUUUUAUGUGUUCGAUGCCUCAUGGGGUAUGCGAGCGUGAUUGGCCUAAGUGAGCGACAACUAGCCAUGACUGCUCUAUCAGUGAGCAUAUCCAGGACACGAUCGAGUGCAUCAUUUGUGAAGAAGAUAUCAAAAGCAAGAGGCAUCAAACCAAGGGAGUACAUAGCCAUUCAAGACUGCAUAGAAAACAUGGGUGACAGUUUGGACAGUCUUAGCCAAUCGGUUAGGGAGUUAGGCAGUAUUGGUCAUGCUGUUGGAGAGGAUUUCGUUUGGCACAUGAGCAACGUGCAAACUUGGGUCAGUGCUGCCGUUACUGAUGAUAACACUUGUCUUGAUGGCUUUUCUGGUCCUUCCAUGAAGGGAAAUGUCAAGGCUGCCAUCAAGAAUAGAGUUGUCAAUGUUACUCAAAUUACAAGCAACGCACUCGCUUUGGUCAAUCGCUUUGCCUCGAUUCAUCGAACUGUUGAAACUCCUUAAAUUGAUCGAUAUGAAUGAUUUCUUACCACUUCCUCGUGGAGUAAUCUUCAAACCCACCGAUGAACAACUUAUUGAGCACUACGUACCUUAAGAAUAAAAUUGCUUCUGAAAAGAUGGAUUUUGAUUUCAUAGAUCUUGAUCUCAAUGAAAUUGAGCCAUGGGAUAUACCAGAAUUAUGCAAUAUAGGAUUUGGUGAUAGACAAAUAGGAUGGUAUUUUUUCGGUCGAAAAGACAAGUUUUCAGUUAGUAGGAAUCAUACAUAUAUAACUACAAAAGCAGGAUACUGGAGAGCAGAAGGAACUGGCUGUGCAAUCUACUCUGAUGAUGAGAAUGACCAUAAUAGUCUCAUUGGAAUGAAAAAGCCUCUAGCCUUCUUUCAAGGAAGGGAACCUAAUGGACUAUUAAGUCAAUGGUUCAUGUUUGAGUACCGCUUAGAAACUAAUGAAGAUGAAAGUGGCACUCUUCUUCAGGCUCAGGAAGAAAGUUGGGUUUUAUAUAAAAUGUUCAAGGAACCAUUAUUGCAAAAAUUACUAUUGCUCGAGAAUCAACUUAGGCCAUUGCUCAAGGGUUUACCGGCUGCAACAGUGGAGGAGAGCAAUCAAAGGAUUGGCCAGUACUAGACAAAUUUUUUGUUGUUAGAAAAUUUCAAACCAUGAAUUUCUAAGAGAGAUUAACAAAUUAUACAUGAAUUCAUUAUAUUGAUUUCCUUUAAUGC